rnacentral:lncRNA from 1 species
UUGAAUACGUUUUAGCAUGGGGAAGAUAAAUCCAUUAGAUAAACAAAGAAAGCUUGACAAUUGAAUUCAAUUUACUGCUAAAAUGCCAUUGUAUUGUUGUUUUUGGUCAUACUAAAUAACAGUUUGUAUAAGUUGUACUUUCCUUUUAAGUCUCUACAACAAUAGCCCAAAGUAGAAAAGGGAGGCAAAAAACCCAACUACAAAAAUGAAUUUUGACAGGAAGGACUUUUCCAAACAAAAAGCACAAAUUGAAAAGAAAAAAAAUAAGAAGAAAG